ACGGUGAAGCCAAGCUUGCUUGGGGGAUCAGUGGCGAACGGGUGAGAAACACGUGAGCAACCUGCCCUGGACUCUGGGAUAAGCGCUGGAAACGGCGUCUAAUACUGGAUAUGAGCCUCUUCCGCAUGGUGGGGGUUGGAAAGAUUUUUUGGUCUGGGAUGGGCUCGCGGCCUAUCAGCUUGUUGGUGAGGUAAUGGCUCACCAAGGCGUCGACGGGUAGCCGGCCUGAGAGGGUGACCGGCCACACUGGGACUGAGACACGGCCCAGACUCCUACGGGAGGCAGCAGUGGGGAAUAUUGCACAAUGGGCGAAAGCCUGAUGCAGCAACGCCGCGUGAGGGAUGACGGGCCUUCGGGUUGUAAAACUUCUUUUUAGCAGGGAAAGAAGCGAAAAGUGACGGUCCCUGCAGAAAAAGCGCCGCCUAACUACGUGCCAGCGGUCGGGGUAUUACGAGGGCGCCAAGGUUAUUCCGAAUUAAUUGGGCCGGAAAGGAGCUCGAAGCGGGUUUGUGGCGUCCCCUGGUGAAAUCCCCAAGGUUCACCCUCGGCCCUGACAGUGGGUACGG
rnacentral:rRNA from 2 species